CGAACGUUAGCGGCGGGCCUAACACAUGCAAGUCGAACGAGAAAGUCCUUCGGGGCGAGUAUAGUGGCGCACGGGUGAGGAACGCGUAGGUAAUCUACCCUCCGGCGGGGGACAACAUUCCGAAAGGAAUGCUAAUACCGCAUAUGACCACGCUCACUACGGUGAAAGUGGUAAAAGGCGCCUCAAAGCGCCACCAGAGGAUGAGCCUGCGUCCCAUCAGCUUGUUGGUAAGGUAACGGCUUACCAAGGCUAAGACGGGUAGCUGGUCUGAGAGGAUGAUCAGCCACACUGGCACUGGAACACGGGCCAGACUCCUACGGGAGGCAGCAGUGAGGAAUAUUGGGCAAUGGGCGAAAGCCUGACCCAGCCACGCCGCGUGUGUGAUGAAGGCCUUCGGGUCGUAAAGCACUGUGGGGAGAGACGAAACAGCGCAUCAGGAAAUGGUUGCGCCUUGACGGUACCUCCUUAGCAAGCACCGGCUAACUCU
rnacentral:rRNA from 1 species